AACGCUGGCGGCGUGCCUAACACAUGCAAGUCGAACGGAGAGUUCAUUGAGGAGACUUCGGUCAACGAGAUGAAUUUCUUAGUGGCGGACGGGUGAGUAACGCGUGAGCAAUCUGCCUUUCAGAGGGGGAUAACAUUCUGAAAAGAAUGCUAAUACCGCAUAACGUAUUGAGAUGGCAUCUUCUUGAUACCAAAGGAGCAAUCCGCUGAAAGAUGAGCUCGCGUCUGAUUAGAUAGUUGGUGGGGUAACGGCCUACCAAGUCGACGAUCAGUAGCCGGACUGAGAGGUUGAACGGCCACAUUGGGACUGAGAUACGGUCCAGACUCCUACGGGAGGCAGCAGUGGGGAAUAUUGGGCAAUGGGCGCAAGCCUGACCUAGCGACGCCGCGUGAGUGAAGACGGUCUUCGGAUUGUAAAACUCUGUUGACAGGGACGAUAAUGACGGUACCUGUCGAGGAAGUCACGACUAACUACGUG
rnacentral:rRNA from 1 species